UACAGAGGGUGCGAGCGUUGCCCGGAAUUAUUGGGCGUAAAGAGCUCGUAGGCGGUUUGUCGCGUCGACUGUGAAAACCUGGGGCUUAACUCUGGGCCUGCAGUCGAUACGGGCAGACUUGAGUUCGGUAGGGGAGACUGGAAUUCCUGGUGUAGCGGUGAAAUGCGCAGAUAUCAGGAGGAACACCGGUGGCGAAGGCGGAUCUCUGGGCCAUAACUGACGCUGAGGAGCGAAAGCAUGGGGAGCGAACAGG
rnacentral:rRNA from 1 species